AUUGAACGCUGGCGGCAGGCCUAACACAUGCAAGUCGAGCGAGCGGCGGACGGGUGAGUAAUGUAUGGGGAUCUGCCCGAUAGAGGGGGAUAACUACUGGAAACGGUAGCUAAUACCACAUACCAUCGGAUGUACCCAUAUGGGAUUAGCUAGUAGGUGGGGUAAUGGCUCCCCUAGGCGACGAUCUCUAGCUGGUCUGAGAGGAUGACCAGCCACACUGGUAAGUAUACACGGCCCAGACUCCUACGGGAGGCAGCAGUGGGGAAUAUUGCACAAUGGGAGCAAGCCUGAUGCAGCCAUGCCGCGUGUAUGAAGAAGGCCUUAGGGUUGUAAAUUACUUUCAGCGGGGAGGCGUUACCCGCAGAAGAAGCACCGGCUAACUCCGUGCCAGCCGCCGCGGUAAUUC
rnacentral:rRNA from 1 species